rnacentral:rRNA from 1 species
UACGUAGGGUGCGAGCGUUAAUCGGAUUUACUGGGCGUAAAGCGUGCGCAGGCGGCCCGUUAAGACAGGUGUGAAAUCCCUGGGCUCAACCUAGGAAUUGCAUCCGAUACUGGCAGUCUAGAGUUUAAGAGAGGGAAGGGGAAUUCCAGGUGUAGCAGUGAAAUGCGUAGAGAUCAGGAGGAACACCGAUGGCGAAGGCAGCCCCCUGGGCCUGUACUGACGCUCAUGCACGAAAGCGUGGGGAGCAAACAGG